GGGUUAGUAGGUUGGUCAUGCCUCCGGUAUGUACUGAUCUCACUGAUUCCUCCUUCCUUAUGAACCGUAAUGCCAUUAAUUUGGUGUUGCGGGGAAUUUGGACUGUUACUUUGAAAAAAUUAGAGUGUUUAAAGCAGGCUAACGCUUGAAUACAUUAGCAUGGAAUAAUGAAAUAGGACGUUCGAUCUUAUUUUGUUGGUUUCUAGGAUCGAUGUA
rnacentral:rRNA from 1 species